rnacentral:rRNA from 1 species
GACGAACGCUGGCGGCGUGCCUAACACAUGCAAGUCGAGCGAAGUGAGUACUACGGUACGAACUUAGCGGCGGACGGGUGAGUAACGCGUGGACAAUCUACCCUGUAGACUGGGAUAACACCUCGAAAGGGGUGCUAAUACCGGAUAAUGUCGAGAAGCGGCAUCGCUUUUCGAAGAAAGGAGAGAAUCCGCUAUAGGAGGAGUCCGCGUCCCAUUAGCUAGUUGGUGAGGGUAACGGCCCACCAAGGCGACGAUGGGUAGCCGGCCGGAGAGGGUGAACGGCCACACUGGAACUGAGACACGGUCCAGACUCCUACGGGAGGCAGCAGUGGGGAAUAUUGUGCAAUGGGGGAAACCCUGACACAGCAACGCCGUGUGAGCGAAGAAGGCCUUCGGGUUGUAAAGCUUAAUAGUAUGGGAAGAUAAUGACGGUACCAUACGAAAGCCCCGGCUAACUACGUGCCAGCAGCCGCCGCGGUAA